AUAUAUUAAUGACAGAAGAUCUUACACAAAUCCCACAUCUUAGUUUUAAGAUUUUCACUUUCCCGUAACACAUGUUGCUUAUACUAAGUUUUAUACAAUACUCACGUCCUCACUACCGUAUCACAUUAUUACAUUAAUAUGCUCUAAUAAUUUUCUUUAUACACUAACCAUUGUUAAGAUAUGAAAAUGGUUUGAGAGAUUUAUAAAUAAAGUACAUAAAUUUUUAAAAAUGGUUAAUUUGGUUAGUGUGAGACCCUUGAUAAUUAGCAAUGAUAAUUUCUGUCACAUUACCAUUAAUGCACGCCACUUCAAUGCUCAGCCAUUAAAACCCUCUCCCUAAUUUGAAACUCCACUGCCAAGUGUCACAAAUAGGGGAAUUCUGAAAAUGCUAGUGGAAGGCAGGUGUCCGUGUAUCAGAGGACGUCCGCUUGACUUGGGAAGAAAACCAAUUUCUGAAAAAUCUUCUUCCCACUCUCUGCAUGCACGAACGCCACCUGUCACGUUAGAAGUUUCUGAAAUCAGAAGUGGGAGUGCAGGUGUCAGCUUGGGAGACGCUCGUCCGUUUUGACGUGGAAUCAACAAAACUGAGUUUUGAAAAACUCUCUCUCUCUCACCUGCACGCACAUUUCAUCUCCCUCUGAACCUAACCCUUCAUUUUCUCCACCUUCUCUCUAGAACUCCCAACUUCUCUCUACUGUAAAUCUCACGCCUCUCCUCCGAUCACAUUUCAGAACCGUAGGAAAGUUCUCGGAGACGCGGACGUUAUUUUGGACCGAACAGAAUUAGGAUCUAAGCUGGUAAGUCCUCUCCUCCAGUCGUUGUCCAUUAGGUUUCAUGCGAAACCAUGUUCUGGGUUCAUGCAUGGGUGAAAUCUGAGUUAUGUUUGAUUCUGGUGUAUAGAUUAAGUGAAAGUUAGUAAGUGGACCUUGGAGUAGAACGCUGUUAAAGGACGCACCAUACCCCUGCUUUAGGACAUUUCACAUAUUGAUCCGGAAGGCGAGGCCACCCUAGAGGAUGUGAUCGAAGAAGAAAACUUGGUUGAAGUGGAAGUGAAAGCGGAGCAGUAGGACGUCCGUCUUUCGUUUUGAUUAGAGCGCUCGUAGAUGUUAGGUUGUAAAUGUUAGCUUAUUUGGACGUUCGGUUAAUUCUUUUGUAAAACCGUUAGUUCUAGUUUACUUUCCUGUUUCUGUGUUACGCUCGGUAUUUUUGUAUCCAAGCCGUUCGACUUUUGAACCUUGAGCUCUGUUAUUUAUAUAAAGACUGCAUUGAUUUACUGUUAA